rnacentral:lncRNA from 10 species
GACUGGAGCUGUUCCUAUUCAGCCAUCUUGGAACCUCCACUGGCAUUCUUUAUUAAACCUAAUACUAGAUCCUAAUUAAAAUAUAUGAAUAUAUGCAUGUAUGAAGAAAGAGAUAAAGGAGAAGGAGGAAGAGAAAAUGAGAGGCUCUGCAGAAACUGAACAGAUCCUGAGGAAUGACUGUACACUACUGCAAGCUUAACUAUGUAGCAGCUCCAAUUAAUCACAACCACCAUGCCAACAGCAGAUUAUUACAAACUCAGCUGGCAAUGGGAAACAUUCACUGGAGA